rnacentral:rRNA from 1 species
UUUGGACAAUGGGGGCAACCUUGNUCCAGCCAUGCCGCGUGCGGGAAGAAGGCCUUCGGGUUGUAAACCGCUUUCGGCCGGAACGAAAUCGGGCGGGUGAACAUCCCGCCUGGAUGACGGUACCGGAAGAAGAAGCACCGGCUAACUACGUGCCAGCAGCCGCGGUAAUACGUAGGGUGCGAGCGUUAAUCGGAAUUACUGGGCGUAAAGCGUGCGCAGGCGGUUCGCUAAGACAGAUGUGAAAUCCCCGGGCUUAACCUGGGAACUGCGUUUGUAACUGGCGGGCUGGAGUGCGGAAGAGGGAGGUGGAAUUCCACGUGUAGCAGUGAAAUGCCGUAGAGAUGUGGAGGAACACCGAUGGCGAAGGCAGCCUCCUGGUCUAGCACUGACGCUCAUGCACGAAAGCGUGGGGAGCAAACAGGAUUAGAUACCCUGGUAGUCCACGCCCUAAACGAUGACGACUAGUUGUUGGGGUAGAAGUACCUUAGUAACGCAGCUAACGCGUGAAGUCGUCCGCCUGGGGAGUACGGUCGCAAGAUUAAAACUCAAAAGAAUUGACGGA